rnacentral:rRNA from 1 species
AUCCUACGGGGCGCAGCAGUGGGGAAUAUUGGGCAAUGGGCGCAAGCCUGACCCAGCAACGCCGCGUGAAGGAAGAAGGCUUUCGGGUUGUAAACUUCUUUUGACAGGGAAGAGCAGAAGACGGUACCUGUCGAAUAAGCCACGGCUAACUACGUGCCAGCAGCCGCGGUAAUACGUAGGUGGCAAGCGUUGUCCGGAAUUACUGGGUGUAAAGGGAGCGCAGGCGGGAAGCCAAGUCAGCUGUGAAAACUACGGGCUCAACUUGUAGACUGCAGUUGAAACUGGAUUUCUUGAGUGA